ACCUCAUAAAGUGCGUCGUAGUCCGGAUUGGAGUCUGCAACUCGACUCCAUGAAGUCGGAAUCGCUAGUAAUCGUGGAUCAGAAUGCCACGGUGAAUACGUUCCCGGGCCUUGUACACACCGCCCGUCACACCAUGGGAGUGGGUUGCAAAAGAAGUAGGUAGCUUAACCUUCGGGAGGGCGCUUACCACUUUGUGAUUCAUGACUGGGGUGAAGUCGUAACAAGGUAACCGUAGGGGAACCUGCGGUUGGA
rnacentral:rRNA from 1 species